GCCUAGGUGGUGCAGUGGCAGAGCACGCGUCCCCCGAUAGGACAAAACGCAGGUUCGAUUCCUGGUUGAGCUCAUGCU